rnacentral:lncRNA from 1 species
UCAAGCAAAUUUUACAUGAAGAUUUUUACAAUUUUUCUCCUAUAAGAAACAGAUACCACGAAAAAACAGAUAUACCACGAUUCAUCGGUCAGAAUGAAAAAUUAAAUUAUUAAACAUUUAAAAAUUUCAAGGAAAAUUUCAAAAUUAAUUUUUGAAUGCGUUUUCUUAUAUAAUAAAAAAAAAAAAAGAAGAGAAGAAAACGACUUACAAUAGUUUUAAAGAGGAAAUCUGCUAUUCCUGUGAUCGAAAGAUUCUUCUGAUUCCCCGAGGACUGGUGAGAAAUCCGACUAAUUCUCGAAUCCGCGACAACACGGAAGAAAACAGAAUGGGGUGAGAAAGAGCUGACCCAUUUGGCGGUAGAAUAGCCGAAGGGGGUUGGAAAAGAGGCAGCGAGUAGAAAAAAAGGCAAACCCGUGUGUACGGAACACGCGGGUAUCUUUUGUCGCCGAUCCUGGCCACCGGCGUCCCGGCAUAAUUAAAAUUCUACAGACUCGCUCCGGAAGUUUGGACCAUCUCCAAAAUCCUCGAACCAAGUUACUCUUGGAUCGAUCCAAAGGCGAAUCUUCUGCCUGUGACAUAGCUGCUGUUGAACGAAGAGAGCUGCGAUCGACCAUGGGAAAGUUAAGUGUACCAAAGAAAAUCAAGGAGAAAUUGUUUGGCUAAGUUUACACGUAGAAUGAGAAUGAUCGAUCGAACGACGUGAUAUUGACGGCCUUGGGUUUUUUGAAUGAUGGUUCAUGAUAUUUUGUGAUGGAAAAUUUGAUAGUUACAACAAUGGUACUUGGUAGUUUGCAAUAUUUUUUAUUUUCUUCCAGUUUUAGACGGUUUGUUUGAGUUAAUUUAAUUAGAGGUUAAGUUAAGAUUAAUUAUAGAAAGAGUAAUAGAAUUAUAGAUGCAAUUGCAAUUGUUUGGAUUUAAUGUUUUUAUUGAGAUAAUUCAAUCACGAUGGGCAAACUUUUUCAAUUACACGUCUCUGUUGGAUCGCAUUAAGACAAUGAUCAUAUUGCUGUAUGAGAAAUUGGAUAUUCCGUUGAAAAUUGAGAAAUACUUUCGAAUAUAUCGUGACACGAUAUUAAGAGAAAGGUAGAAUUUAUCGAACGGAUAGGAGACCAAAUGUUGAGCCAGUAAUUGGUUAAAUAUUUUAUUUGAGGAAUCUUGGGAGAGAGGAUUCCCAGAAAUUGGCCGCUUCGAGCAAAUAUUGAAAUAGGCUUCGUAAAUGGUUCUGCUCGUUUAAAAGGAAAUGUGGUGAUGCAACACGUACAACUUUCCAUCUGAUCCCAGGUGUCGCAGAGAAAAAAAUCAGAAGAAAGAAAAAUUAUAAAGAUAGAAGAAUUAUAAAUAUAGAAUUUAAGAAUCUUUCGAAAGGAAAAUAACAAAUUAAUUUUAAAGAAAUUAAAGAGUUAAACUUCUCCAUUUGUCUAGUCGUGUUCAUAAAAAUUUCAAUUUACAUUAGCAUCAGUAUUCUAUAGCUAAUAUUUUUAUAUUUCUAACAUUUUCUUCUUUUUUUUUUUUCUGUUCAAGAUACUCGUGCUGGCUUGUCCCUGGAAAAACGCGACGAAAGGGAUUGUCGUAGCUGCUGAUCACACAGUUUCUCGGUUACAUUGGCGUAACCGGUUCUCCAAGACUCCUCGUCGAGUCUCUUUGUAUCGGGCGAGGCCUGGAUUCGUGCCGUUCAAGCGAUUUUUAUUAAACGACGCGGUUGAGAGAGUACAUUGUUUGUCGCGAAUUGCACCUCUUGUGGUGAGAGCUAACCCCUGCCAGCAAGUACGAUCCCCCUUCUUCCCUUGUAAUUGCUGACUGGUAAAUUGCUUCGAAGAAAAAUUACACAUAAUCGUGAUGGAAUACUAUUUGAUCAUUCAUUUAAAUUUAAAAUAUUUCUAGAAUUUUCUCUAUAUUCGAAUCAAAAAUUCCAGAAUCGUUGAGAAUACUCUUCAAUUUAACGAUAGAAAUAUUCUAAAACUCACUUUUAAAAGUCUCAAACGCAAAAUUUUCUUCAAAUUAUAUUUAUAGCACAGAUAGAAGCUUUUUUAGAACCCCGAUCACUUUUCACUUUUAUCAAACGGAGAGCCAGACAUCUUUGCCACCCACAAUCUGUUCCUUCCCACUCAGCCCUCAUAAUUCCCCGCCAAAUACAUUCUAAAAUCGCUCGUUCAGCAUCCAUAUCCCCUUUUCGCAAUCUCUUUCUCAGUAUUCCGCCCGUGGAGAGCGCGAUUGCCCAAUUUCCCUCAAUUUUCCCAAAGCAAGUUCGAAAUCAGCCCAGCCAGGGAAGCGCGCACGAGCCCGCCAAGCUUUUAUAUUUGCUUAACAUUAGAUUACGCUCCUCGAGGGUAUGUAGGUCGUCUCGUUUGUUCCCAGUUUCAGGAAUUUACGAUUAAGUCCCGCAGAAUUGAAUUUUCGAGGGUUGGAAUAACUGCGUGCCGCUAUUCUGCGAGAAUUUCGAGUUGAACGCGAUCCCUGUUCCGUGAUUGGUCGGUGAUUUAUUCAGUUGUUUCCGUUUGUGUAGUUGGUAACAGUAUUUUUGAUGUUCUUAUAUUUGUUGUAUAAUAUUUUGUGCAAUAAAUUACACAUCUGGGUCUAUGAAUUUUGAUAAGAUAUUUUUUUCAUACGAUAUAUAUUUUUUCAUAUGUGUGUUUUGUGGCUUCGUGAUUUUUUAAUACGUUUUUUUUUUAAACAUUAAUUUUACUCUUUAUACGUUCAUAUAAAUGUUUUUAUGCAAAUGUUUUAAAUUACUACUUGUUUUAUAUAUGGUGUUUUCUUUAAAGAGACCCAGAUGUAUAAUUAGUUUUAUAUAAAAUGAUUCUUGGCAAUUUUUUUCUGUUCCCAGAAAACAAAAAGAAUAAUUGCCUUUCCUUGAUAAAUUUAAAUUUGCUCGAACAAAAUAUCGUAAUUAUAUUUUGAAAAAAUUCUACCUAAUCAAUAACGAAAUUAUUGACGAGAUUGAUCAAGAAUCAUUUUUGUUUUCGAACGUUUCAAUUAAUAAUAUUAAUAUUAUACAUUUUCAGAUCUCUUUCAACGUUAAUUACGAUAAUCAAAUGAUCAAACAACUACGUGAUACGUCAAAUACUACAUUCUUCAAAUUCAAUAUAAGUGUGGAAUCGAACCGAAAGUUCUCUUAUUAUAAUAUCGAAAAACCCAUGAAUGGAAAGUAAGACUUAAUCGUGCAGCUUUUCGCCUCCGAACCGAGUUCUCGAGCAGCUGACGCGAUAAUUUAUCGGGCCGUUUAACUUUCGAGUUUCGUUCGCGUGAAACACGAAAGAGUGGGAGAGAGAGUAAAAAAACUCGAUACAGGAAACCAGUUUCGAACAGACCAUGAUUUCAAUAGGUUCCACGACUCUCUAAACACCGAUUCCUUCUCGAUUUACUUACUCCAACCCAGAUCGAAUUUUACCUCGCAUUCUCACUCUCGAGUCUGCAACACCUCUGAAAUUCAUUCUGCGUGAUAGAAAGGAUAGAAAGAAAGAAGAAAAAAAUAAGGAAAUAAAGAGCGGAGAGAUAGGAUGGAAGAGAAGAAACGAAAGAGAGAAAGAAAGAGAGAGACUUCUUACACACAGGCGGAGAAAACGUGGCGCGUAAAUAGAGCGAAUAAAGGAGGUCGAGUUGAAAUGGGGUUGAAAAUUUGUAAAGAAGGGGAAAAGGUUUUUUUUUUAACGAGUUAAUGAAGGGAAGCCAGGGCAAGAAGGUUGAAAGUUAAUUAAGAACAACUUGGAAGGAAUGAUUAUUUUUCUUUUCUUUUCUUCCUUUUUUUUUUCUUUGAUGAUCGUGCUUCGUUCGUUGUACAAUGAAAAUUUGUUUCAUUUCAUUAAGAUUUUGUGUUUUUGUAAAUGUAAAGGUUUUUGUGAAUGUGAAUUAUUUGAAGAUACAUGUGGACCAUUUUAAGUAUGAUCAUUUUUUUGAUUAGAUUCAUAAUUUUAAUAAUAAAAAUAUGUACCAGAAGUACAAUUGGAUGAAUUAAAAGAGAUUUAUUUUUCUAUACAAUGAUAUGAAAUGUUUCAAUUAAAAUAUUCAAAAUAUGGAUACAGGAAUAUAGAAGGAUUGAAUUUGUUGCGAUUGAGCGUAGUUUCAAUGAAAGGGAGGCUUAUAACGAACGAUCGAUUCCGAAUUCAUUAAAUUAUUUCUUCGUUACGUAUUUAUUAACCAUCGUGCCCAUUUUCAGCGAUGAAUUACGAUAGUUGGUAUACAUGUUGCAUCGAUUAUAGGGAAAUUUUGAAUUGGAUGGAGAGCAACGUCGAUAUUGACGACACUGAUUGCCGCGUUUUAUUUUCUAUAAACAUCCAUCCAACCUACAAUUCUUUCAUAUAUUUUUUUUAAUUUUUCAAGAACAAAUAAAUGAUAUUGAUAAAAUAUUCGAUGUGAAAAAAAGAAAUAAAGAAGAGAUAUAAAAAUAAAAAACAAUGAUAUAUAUCGUUAAUCUCUUCAAAGAUUUUUAAGUAACGGUAUAAAUAAUAGUGUGAUCGAUGUGCAAAAGAUUCGAAGAUGGAAAGAAGAUAAAAGUGAUUCCGUAAACCAUAAAAACGUUUUAAAAAAAAUGAAAAAUCGUGAGACCAUUCCGAGGAUCUUCAAUUUUCCGAAGGAUAUCGAGCGAAAGGACGAUUUAACCAAUUCUAGAAAUAUUAUUUGUUGAGACUAUGGGAAUCAUUAGCGAGCAAUUUAUCGUGUCGUCGUAGGGAAAUCGAGCGUCCAAACACGGGGAAUCGAUAUUCCAUUACGGAGGAUCGGUGGUUCGCCAGAGAGAGGCACGAUAAGAGGGCAACUAUGGCGAACGGGGAUACCGCUUUCAAGGUGGAAGAUAGAAACGUCUGGGAAAUGAAACUUGGUUACUGAAAAGCAUGGAAUUUGAAAUCUAUCAGGAUGGGAUCACAAAAUGGUUUACAAAUCCAUAAAAAUAUUAAUUAAUUAGUCGAACACAAUAUGGGAACUACGUCUCACGAUUUCAUCCUUUCCAUCUCUCUUGCCAAAGCCAAAGAAUCGUCUCGUCCAAGAACAGCAGAACGCAUCAUUAUCACGCUGAGUGGAAGGACGAAAGGCGCACGCGUGGUGAUCGGCGCGCCUAUGUGCACGAGUACACAAAUAGCUCAUUAUGAACGAAGCCCAUACUUGGACCCGUCGCGCGCACUACGUAAUUGGGGUUAAUGAUCGUGUGUACACCAGUGCCUCUCCUACUUGUACGCGAACCACCACUCGACAACUUGGCCCGGACCAGGCAUUCCACUCUCUGGCCAUUAGCAAGUGUAAUGCCGGCCGUGGUAACACCUCGUUUCUUUGCCCAUCUCCCUCAUACUUCUACAUUUUCUUUAGCCUCAUCUUGACCGUUCAGGUUCUGCUCCAGGGAAUUUUCUUUUUUACCUUCCUUUUCUUUUUUCCUUUCUUGUGAAAGUGGAGAAAAUGGAAAUAGCUUUUGACAUUUUAAUGAGGGGUUGAGGGAUGGAUGAUUUGGAGAAAGAGAUAUCGAAACACUUUACGAUUAGAAAUGUGGUAGUAGCCGGUUAAUUGUCGUAAUUUUCUUUUCUCCUUUCUUGUGAAAGUGAAGAAAUGGAAAUGGAUAGCUUUUGAUGGCUUAAUAAGGAGUGGAUUUGGAGAAAGAAGCAUUGAGCGAAUUUUACGAUUAGAAUUACGAUAGUACCCGAUUAAUUAUCGUGAAACGUAUUAAUUAUCUGAGGAAGCAUAUGCAUGCCAAAUUUUUGAGUAUAAUGCGAAUAAUCGAAUUAUGAUAAUUCAAAUCUGAAGAGAAAGAUACAAUAAUCCAGAUAAUCGUUGCAUACAGAUUAAAUUUUUAUGUGUAACAAAUUUCUGAAAAUAGUUUUAAGAUAAAUAAAGUGGAUAAGUACCUGAAUAAUAACUAUUCUAGAAUAUAAUAGUGAUUCAAAAUCUUUGACAGAUACUGUACUCUACGUUUAGUAAAAUAUAUAUAUAAUAAAACGAUAUAUCUACACAAGAAAAAUUCAUCGAGUGGAAUAAAAUCUUGUCAAUCCUUGGAAUUGUGAUACUUGACUGUAUCGAUACUUGCGAGUAUAUAUCGAGGCUUAACGAGAAUGCAUGACCGAGGACAACCAAGGAUCGAGGGAAUGUCUCUAUCGAUAAUGUCUUGAUCGAGA